UACCAGCACCCCGAGUGGUCGGGACGAUUAUUGGGCCUAAAGCAUCCGUAGCCGGUCCUACAAGUCUUCCGUUAAAUCCACCUGCUUAACAGAUGGGCUGCGGAAGAUACUAUAGGGCUAGGAGGCGGGAGAGGCAAGCGGUACUCGAUGGGUAGGGGUAAAAUCCGUUGAUCCAUUGAAGACCACCAGUGGCGAAGGCGGCUUGCCAGAACGCGCUCGACGGUGAGGGAUGAAAGCUGGGGGGAGCAAACCGG
rnacentral:rRNA from 1 species